rnacentral:rRNA from 1 species
UACAGAGGGGGCUAGCGUUAUUCGGAAUUAUUGGGCGUAAAGGGCUCGUAGGCGGCCAACUAAGUCGGAUGUGAAAUCCCCAGGCUUAACCUGGGAACUGCAUCCGAUACUGGAUGGCUUGAAUCCGGGAGAGGGAUGCAGAAUUCCAGGUGUAGCGGUGAAAUGCGUAGAUAUCUGGAGGAAUACCGGUGGCGAAGGCGGCAUCCUGGACCGGCAUUGACGCUGAGGAGCGAAAGCUAGGGGAGCAAACGGG